CGGGGAGUCACAGUGAUGAAGCUGACAGAAGACAGGGAAGUCAUCCGACGGGGCCUUGCCAUUCUGCGGCGAGAAAUGCCCGGAGGCGACACGUUCAUGCAUGAAGGCUUGAAAAGGGCAAAUGAACAGAUUUACCAGGAAAACCAUGGAGG